CUGCAAUCAUUAACAGAAAGGCCGUACAUAUAAAGCAAGACAGACCAACCUUUUGUUUAUCAUUCUGCCAUUAUGAGGUCUGAGGUAGCUGCUGCUCUUCUCCUGGGGUUCUGUGCCGUGGCUGUGUCUGUGUCCGUGUCUGGUGAUGAAAACAGAACAGGCAAACGGGACACUCGGGAGGUCAAGGUGGCUCCCCCCGACCCGGUGGACUGUGUCUGGAGCCUCUGGUCUGAGUGGACCCCCUGUAACAGCUGCACCAAGAUACAGCACCGUUCUCGGAGUGUGGAGGUGUUCGGCCAAUUCGGUGGGAAGCCCUGUCAAGGACAGCCAAUAGGAGAGCAGCAGGCGUGCACCAUCGAUGCUGUGUGUGAACAGGCCCUGCCCCCUGAGUGCUCCAGCACUGAGUUCACUUGUGAAUCAGGUGCAUGUAUUAAGUUGAGACUGUCGUGUAACGGAGACUAUGACUGCGAGGACGGGUCAGACGAGGACUGUGAGCCCGUACGUAAGCCAUGUGGCACAAAGUUGUACGACACCAACGAACAGGGCAGGACUGCAGGAUAUGGAAUCAACAUCUUGGGCAUGGAGCCCCGUAUAAACCCCUUCAACAACGACUACUUCAAUGGGAUGUGCAACAAGGUGAAGAACACCAAUAACAACGAGUACAACAGGCUGCCUUGGAACGUGGGCUUGCUCAACUAUGAGACUAUAGCAGAGGAGACCGUUUCCAAAGAGAUCUAUGAGGACACAUACACCCUGCUGAGGGAACUGAUGACUGAGACCAAGUUGACUGUGAGCGCUGGUUUGAACUUAAAAUUCACCCCCACAGAAAAGUCUAUGGCCAAGUCCAAUACGACUGUGUCAGGAGGGGUUGGUUUGGAUGCUGAGUAUGACAGGACACAGAUGAUCAAGGAGGUCUCGGAGUACUCUACCAUCAAGAACAAGAGUUUCAUGCGUGUGAACGGCCAUGUGCAGCUGAGCACCUAUAGGAUGCGUUCCCGGGACCUUCAGGUGGCUGGGGAGUUUCUAGAGCAUGUCAAGUCUCUACCUCUGGAGUACGAGAAAGGACAGUACUUCAGCUUUCUGGAGGACUACGGGACUCACUACACCAGGAAUGGGAAGUCUGGAGGAGAGUACCAGCUGAUCUACGUUCUCAACCAGGACACCAUCAAGGACAAAAAGCUGACUGAGAGAAAGCUCCAGGACUGCAUUAAAGUUGGAAUCUCAGGAAACUUUGACACCAACAUCGGGAUUGGAGGAGAUGCCCACAUCAGACCGGGAUACUGUAAAGACACUGUGAAUAAAAACACAGAUGAGAAGGAGGGCAAGGCGCUGGUGGAUAAGGUGAUAACUGUAGUCAGGGGCGGAACCUUGGAGACCGCUGUCGCCAUGAGAACCCAGAUAAUGAAGGAGGGGCUAGUGGACAUAAAUACCUAUCAGAACUGGGCCCGGACAGUCGGCGAUGCCCCUGCACUCCUCAGUAGUGAGCCAGAACCCAUUCAGACCCUGAUCCCACUGAGUAUGCCUGAUGCCAACACCAGGAGGCUUAACAUGCAGAGAGCCACUCAGGAGUACGAGGCUGAGUACAGUGUGUGCAAGUGUAAGCCCUGUCACAACGGGGGCACUCUGGCCCUGCUGGACGGGAAGUGCCUGUGUCUCUGUCUGCCCCAGUUUGAAGGUCUGGCCUGCCAGGAUGCCAAGGCUGAUAACAAUAAGAAUACUAAAACCCCCGUGGAGAGUGUUCCUCAGGAGGGGAACUGGUCGUGUUGGGCAGCCUGGUCAGGCUGCAGUGGAGGAAAACGUAUCAGGACCCGCAGCUGUAACACACAGGGCCUCUCUGGUGCCACCUGCAGUGGAGACACAGUCGCUGAAGACUACUGCUGAGCACACUCUUGUUCAGAACACUAUGAUGACACAGCAUAACUAACGGAACCCCAUACAUGUAGACAAAGAGGAGUUAAUGCAUCUUAUACACAUAUGUUCGCACACACACACACACACACACACACACACACACACACACACACACACACACACACACACACACACACACACACACACACACACACACACACACACACACACACACACACAGGCCUAUUUAAUUUUUUUAUAUUAAAAACUGUAUCAACGUAUUCCUUGAAGUAGGCCUAGUUCUGUUUAACAAAUAAACAUUUUCCAAUCAA